AUACGGAGGAUCCGAGCGUUAUCCGGAUUUAUUGGGUUUAAAGGGUGCGCAGGCGGCCAUUUAAGUCAGCGGUUAAAUCGUGGGGCUCAACCCCAUUCUGCCGUUGAUACUGGGUGGCUUGAUUGCGGUCGAGGUUGGCGGAAUUCGUUGUGUAGCGGUGAAAUGCAUAGAUAUGACGAAGAACACCGAUUGCGUAGGCAGCUGACCAGACCGCAAAUGACGCUCAUGCACGAAAGUGCGGGGAUCGAACAGGAUUAGAUACCCUGGUAGUCCGCACAGUAAACGAUGAAUACUUGUUUUCGGCGAUAUAAUGUCGGAGGCAAAGCGAAAGCGAUAAGUCAUCCACCUGGGGAGUACGUCGGCAACGAUGAAACUCAAAGGAAUUGACGGGG
rnacentral:rRNA from 1 species